GAGAAAUCUACAGAAAGACUUUUAAUGUGUUUAAGUGUCUUAAAUACUUGAAAAUUUUAGUGGUAUAUUUAUCCCACUAAAAACAUGGUAUUUUUGUAAAUGAUAUAUGCUGUGGUACUUUGUCUUUAUAUCCUAUCUACUAAUUACACUUAGGUUUCAAAAAUAGAUUCUUCCAUGUUCCCAAAGCACCUGUACCUGCUUCUGGUUCUAGUACUUUAAUCAUUUUCACAUUCAUAUCUGUUAAAAAUGCAGAAAGGUCUGAAAGCAAAUGCCUAUUUUUACUCCAUUUAGCAACUGUUUAAUCUUUGGAUAGUUGAUUGUUUUCUUUGUGUGUUAAUUCCCUUAUUUGUAAUAUGGGGCUAAUACAGGUUUUAGUGGUAUUAAAGAUGAAUUGAGAUAAUCAUUGAUAGACCAGCUCUGGUGGUAUGCAGAGGUAGGUAAUUCUUCUCUACACCGAAAAAAAAAAAGAAAAGAAAAAGUAUAAAACUGCAGAAUUUGUCCAAAAACCUUAUCAAAGGGUUCUGGGAAUUCACCAAAGAUAAAAGACAAAUUGAGAAGCAUUUAUUUUUGAAAAACCACCAAAGCUUCAGGUAAAAGCAACAGGAGUCUGCUGCCUUUUUGCCUGGCAUUAUAAUUUACACAUAUCCACCCACAAACUUGAUGUAGUUUUACCAGAGUGGUACGUCUGUAAAAACCAGCAGCUUUGCUCUCAGAGGGGCAGACUCAUGGUACAAAUGCCAAAAGUCCAGAGCUUUGUGAGCCAGAAAUGGCAAACAUGGUAGAAACAAACAAGGAAAAACCCACAGCUGUGAUAUUCAGAGGUUGUGGUCCCAGAUGGGAAGAACAGUUGACUGACCAAGAAUCUAACUAAAAAAUCCUGGAAAUGAGAAAGCCAUAAAAAGGAUUAGAUGAGCUCUCCUUACAUCACUGGCUGACUGAGAAACCUGAGAUAACCCAAUGGAAAAUAAAAGUCAAAAAGCAAACUUACUGGACUUUGUUUUUUCUUUUUCUUUUUUAUGUUUCUAUUUUUUAUUUUAAUUCUAGUAUAGUUAACAUACAGUGUUAUAUUAGUUUCAUAUGUACAGUAUAGUGAUUCAACAGUUCUGUACAUUACUCAGUGCUCAUCAUGAUAAGUGUACUCUUAGUCCCUUUACCUACUUUAUCCAUCCCCCACCCACCUCCCCUCUGGUAACCGUCAGUUUGUUCUCUGUAGUUAAGAGUCUGUUUCUUGGUUUGUGUGUGUGUGUCUCUUUUUUCUUUCCCUUUACCUGUCUGUUUCUUAAAUUCCACAUAUGAUUAAGAUCAUAUGCUAUUUGUUUUUCUCUUGACUUACUUCACUUAGCAUUAUACUCUUUAGCUCCAUCCACAUCAUUACAAAUGGCAAGAUUCAUUCCUUUCUAUAUAUAUAUAUCACAUCUUCCUUAUCCAUUCAUCUAUUGAUAGGACACUGGGCUGCUUCCAUAAUUUGACUAUUUUAAUAAUGCUGCAAUAAGCAUAGAGGUGCAUGUAUCCCUUUGAAUUAGUGUUUUUGUAUUUUUUUGUAUUUUACCCAGUAGUAUAAUUACUGGAUUGUAGUAUAGUUCUAUUUUUAACUUUUUGAGGAAACAUUGCCCUGUUUUCCACAGUGGCUCCACCAGGUUGCAUUCCCACCAACAUAUGAGGGUUCCUUUUUCUUCACAUCCUCACCAACACUUCUUGUUUCUUGAAGAAGUGGCUGAACUUUGAAUAUGCUUUCUAACCCAGGUCUCAGAGGGGCGAACCCUUAUAGAUUUGAAGUUUAAGUUAAAGAUUACUUUUUUAAAUAUAAAAAUUAGAAAAAUAAGUUAAAAAUCCAUAAUUACUGUGUUACCUAAAAAUGUUGACUCUUCUAGAAAAAUUACAGUCAAGCCAAGAAACAAUAAAACAUGAGCAUACUUGGGGGGAAGCAGACAAUAGAAAUGGCUUCUCAGUAGGCCUAAUUGUUGGAUUUAGCAAAUAACUUCAGAGCCCUUUUUAUAAAUAUGUUGAAAGAAUCAAAGGAAAAUAUGUUCAAAGAAUUACAGGACAAUAUAAUAACAGAAAUAAGGGAAAAAAUGGAGAUUCUAGAGUUGAAAAGUAGCAAAUUUGAGAUGACAAGAAAGAAACAUUGAACUUCAUGAAGGUAGAUUAAUAAAAAUUAUUUAUUCUGAAGAACAGAGAGGAAAGAAGAUUGAAGAAAAAUGAACAGAGCCCAAGAAAUGUGUGAAACAACAUUAAAUGCAUCAAAUUUUUAUAAUGAGAGUUCCAGAAAGAAAGGAGUAAGAGAAAGAGACAGGAAAGAAAAACAUUCGAAGAAAUACUUGCCAAAAACUUGCCAAAUUUGAUGAAAAACCUUAAUCCAAAGAAUAAGCUUAACAAAACUCAAGUAGUAUAAACGUAAAAGAUUUAUCUCCAGAUAACGACAGUCACUGUCCAAAGCCAAAAACAAAAAAUCUUGAAAGCAACAAGAGAAAAACAAGUCAUACAGAGGGCAAUUAUAAUAAGAUUAGCCGUCAAUUUUUUAUUAGAGACAGUGGAGGCCAGAAGACUGACAGAGUGACAUAUAUGCUGAAAGAAAACAAAGUUGCCAACCAAGAAUUCUAAAUCCAGUAAAACUAUCUUUCAAAUAUGAAGGUACAUUAAAAACAUUCCCAGAAAAACAAAAAUUGACAGGCAUGUUGCUGGAAGACCUUAGAAGAACUACUAAAAGAAGUUCUUCGAGCUGUAAAGAAUAAUACCAAAUGGUAAUUCUAAUCCAUAGAAAGGAAUGAAUAGUAUCAGAAAUGGUAAAUAUGUGGGUGGAUAUAAAAGGCCAUGUAUAUUAUAUAUAUUUUUUUCUUUUAAUUUCUUUCAAGGGACAUGAGAUUAUUUAAAGCAGUAAUUAUAGCGCUAAAGUACUAAGAUUAUAAGAUACAUAGAUGUAUAUGACAGCAAUAACAAAGAAGGGUAAAGGAAACGGAAUUACAUUGGAGCAAAAUUGCUGUAUUUUGCUGUAAUUAAAUAUCAGCCUAAAAUUGAUUAUUAUAAAUUAAAGAGUUUAUUAGAAUCCCCAAAGAAGGUAGUAAAGAAGGAACAAAGAAACAAAAAGACAUGAGAUUCAUAGAUCGCAGAAUGGCUGACAUAAAUUCAGUCAUAUCAGAACUUAAUAUGAAUAUACAGAGGGGUGCCUGGAUGGCUCAAGUCAGUUAAGCGUCCAGCUCUUGAUUUUGGCUCAGGUCAUGAUAUCAGGAUCCUGGUAUCAAGCUUCAUGCUCAGCAGGGAAUCUGCUUCAGGAUUCUCUCUCCCCCUCUCCUUCUGCCCCUCUUCCCACUUGUGCGCUCCCUUUCUUUCUCUCUAAAAUACGUAUUUGUAUAUAUACAGAAAUCCAAAACAUAGAAAUUGGGAAAACUAUGGACUGGGUAUGAAAAGAUACUAAGAAGUUAUUGUUUCAUUUUGUUGGAGAUGCCAAGUUUUAUUGUUUUUUAAGUCUUCACUGUUAAAAAUACACACUUAAAUAUUUAUGGGUGAAGUAAAAUGAUAUACCAAGAAUUUACCUUAAAAUGUUACAGGAAAAAAAAACUAGGAAUUAAUGAAGCAGUAAUGACAAAUGAAUAAUUUUUAGAUUUUCCAAAAUAAAAGUUAUAAAAAUAUGUGUUGUCCGAACUUUGAGAUGAGAGCCUAUUCAGACUAAGCAUUUCUUAUCCUUUUGACAUAUCUCAGUCAUUUUUUGUGCACUUUCUUGCUUUCUCAUCAAGUUCACUUUCUACCUUUACUGUUUAUAUUAACUAUUGCUAUGUAAAAAAUUACUUUAAAACUUAGAAGCUUAAUACAGUAAGCGUUCAUUAUCUCACAGUUUUUGUGGGUCAGAAACUUGGGAGUGUAUUAGCUGGCUUUUUUUGGCUUAAGGUUCUCAUAGGGUUGCAUUUAAGAUGUUAACCAGGGCUUUAGCCUCUGAAGGUUUGGUUGUUAAUUUACUACUUCCUAAUGGCUUACUUACAUGACUGGUAAGUUAGUGUUGAUUAUUAGGGGAGGCUUUCGAUCCUCACCUUAUGGACCUCUCAGUAGGACUGUUUGAAUGUUUUCAUGACAUGGUUGCUGCCCCUUCCUCCCCACCCCCAGAGUGAAGUAUCCAAGAGAGAAUAAAGCAGAAUGAAUGAUCCAAAGGAGAGUAAGGUGGACUUCUGUGUCUUUCAUGAGCUAGUUCUAAAAAGUCACAUAACAUCAUUUCCACAGUCUCCUAUUGGUUAACACAUGUCAACCUUAGUCAUUGUGGGAAGAGACUAUAAGAGCAUGAUACCAAGAGGCAGAGGUUACUGGAAGGCACUUUGAAGGCUGAUUCUUACAUUACUCUAGCACAGGAAUCUCUAACAAGCCAUGGUGCCUUUUAAUAGAGUAGUAUUUAAAGUUAAAAUCUUGUCACGAAGAGUAUUGUCAUUUGGUAUUUUUUCUGAUAGACACUUUGAGUAUACAGAGCUAAGAAAUACAUGUAUAUAUUUCUCUGUAUAUAUCCAUAUAUAUUUAUUUACAUAUUCAUAUUGAUAUUGAUGACUUAAAUUUAGCAUAACAAGGUUUUUGCCUCUUUGGUUUUGUAUUUUUUUCCUUUUUUUUUUUUUCUUUAGAUUUUAUUUAUUUGUCAGAGAGCAAGAGAGCACAAGCAGGGGGAGUGGCAGGCAGAGGGAGAUGCAGGCUCCCCACUGAGCAAGGAGCCUGAUGUGGGACUUGAUGCUAGGACCCUGGGAUCAUGACCUGAACGGAAGGCAGCCGCUUAACCAACUGAGCCUCCCAGGCGUCCCUUUUUUUCUCAUUUUUAUUUUUUGGAAAUAGAUAAAACAUUUACAUAGUUAAAAGGUCAAAACCAUGUAAAAAUAUACAUUCAGAAAAGUCUUUCAUAUAUUUAUAUCUCCUUUUACACCCCGUUCCUACUAUAUAGUCAGAAUAUCCUUCCAGUGUUUCAUUUUACAAAUAUAGAUAAAUGCAUGCACUCCAUCCUCCCUCUCCCUCAAAAGAUAGCAUAUUUUGUAGUGUUCUGUACCUUACAUUUUUAUUUAACAGUGUAUCCUAGAUAUCACUCUACCUUUAUUUGAAGAUCUUCAUUUUCUUAUGGCUACAUAGUAUCCAUUAUCUGGAUACACGAUUGAGGGUCUUUUGGGUUGUUGCCAGUCUUUUACUAUUAGAAAUAAUGUACUAUUAGAAAUAAUUCACUACGCAGUGAAUAAUUUUGUAUCAUUUCAUACUUGUACCACAUGUAUUAGUGGGGUAGAUUGCUUAAAAGUAGGAUUAUUAUGUCAGAAGGAAAAUGUGUAUACAAUUUUGUUAGAUACUGGCAAAUUCCUCCUUCAUAGGUAGUAUGCCAUUUUUGCCAUCCCAUCAGAGGUUUUGGGGAUUGAGUCCAUGCAUAUAGACUGCCUAACAUAAUGAUCACUUAAUCAAAGACAGCUAUUUAUCUAAAAUCAGUAUCUUUAGACCUCUCAUACAUUGCCAAAUGAAUUUCAAGACUUCUCAAUACCCUGAAUACAUUCCUGGACUUACAUUCCACAUAAUAUGUGGUCCCUUAUAUUACUUUGUGAAGAACUAAACACAAUACAGUAAAUCAUUCCAUAUGAUUAUUUUGUAUUUUAAGAAGUUGAAAAGUUCUGGAAGAGGAAUUAGAUGGGAGACCUUACUACUUCUUUCACAUACUCUCAAACAUCUGUGAGAAUGAAGACCAUUCUCAGCACUCAGACUAUUGACAUUCCAGAAAAUGUCGACAUCACUCUGAAAGGAUGCACUGUUACUGUGAAGGGCCCCAGAGGAACCCUGGGAAGAGACUUCAGUUACAGCAGUGUAGAACUCAGUCUCCUGGGGCUCCUGGACCUCAGUCUCCUUGAAAAGAAAAAGAAGAGGCGCCAACUUGAGAGAAAUAGGAAAGAAAUGACUAUUGUUUGCACUGUCUGUAGUCACAUACAGAACAUGAUCAAGGGCAUUAGACUGGGCUUCCGUUACAAGAUGAGGUCUGUGUAUGCUCCCUUCCUCAUCAGCGUUGUUAUUCAGGACAGUGGUUCUCUUAUUGAAAUCCAAGAUUUCUUAGGUGAAAAAUACAUCCACGGGGAUCGGGUGAGGCCAGGUGUUGCGUGUUCAGUAUCUCAAGCCCAGAAAGAUGAGCUAAUUCUUGAAGGAAAUGACAAUGAACUUGUAUUGAAUUCAGCUACUUUUUGAUUCAGCAAACCACGACAGUUAAAAACGACUAUCAGAAGAUUUGGGGUGGUGUGUUUCUGAAAAAGAAACAGUUCAACGAGCUGAUGAAUAAGAUCUACGUUGUCCAGCUACAGAAACAGCAAGAUGCCAGACGAUUUUUUAGAGUUAUUUGUGAUAUUUUAAAGAUGCAAUAAAAGCUGUAUUGAUUUAAAAAAAAAGGGUUGACAUUUAUAAAGUGGUAAUUUAUAUUGGAAUGAAACAGUCAACCAUUCAACAUUAUGGUGCUAAAUUCCUUCAAGAUAAUAACAAAAUACAAAAUACCUUGGGGAAAUGAUUAUCUUAACUUGCAUUUUAAUGUUUUAUUUUUGGAACCACUUAUGGUUUAACUAGUUGAAUGCGGGACAAGGUGAUGGGCAUUAUCAGCUUCAAUUGGUUCAGUGAUGACAGGCUACACCUCUAUGUCUGGAUUAUUGCCUAACAGACUUAUGAACUUAGAAGGACAACUAAAUAUAAAUGAGUCCAGAGACAUUGUUAGUAUAUGCUUUAAAAAAUAAAUGAAAAUUUGGGGUGCCUGAGUGGCUCAGAUAGUUAAACGUCUGCCUCUGGCUCAGGUCGUGAUCCCAGGGUCCUGGGAUCAAGCCCCACGUUGGGCUCCCUGCUCAUCGGGGAGCCUGCUUCUCCCUCUCCCUCUACUGCUCCCCCUUCUUGUGUGCUUUCUCUCUCUCUCUCAAAUAAAUAAAUAAAAUCUUUUUAAAAAAUCAGUGAAAAUUUAUUUAACUGCCGACAGUAAAAAAAAAUUACUUUCUGAAGUAUUUUUAGAAAAGUGUGUUUAACAUAGGGGAGAUUACUGUUAACAUAUUGAGGUUAAAACUGGAAAAAUUAUUUCACUUGCAAUAUUUUUAUAUUCAUAACUGGUUUUAUAGAAAUGUUUUUGUUUACUAAACAAGUAGUAAUUUAUCUAAACUUUAGUGAUUCGUAAGUAGCUAUUUAAUAAAGUAAUAUUGCAUGUUAACUAGAAAUAAGCAUAAAACUAGAGAUAUUUGUUUUAGUAAUUAGUUUGUUAACCUCCUCUGAAAAUUCUCGAGUACAUUAUCUCCAAUACUUCAUCAUUCUGUGUAACAUUCUAGAUUUAUAAAUUGUGACAUUAUAUUAUUUGCCCAUUUCAACUU